rnacentral:rRNA from 3 species
GGUGUGUGUUCCAGGUAAAUCCGGUUCACUUUAACACUGAGGCGUGACGACGAGGCACUACGGUGCUGAAGCAACAAAUGCCCUGCUUCCAGGAAAAGCCUCUAAGCAUCAGGUAACAUCAAAUCGUACCCCAAACCGACACAGGUGGUCAGGUAGAGAAUACCAAGGCGCUUGAGAGAACUCGGGUGAAGGAACUAGGCAAAAUGGUGCCGUAACUUCGGGAGAAGGCACGCUGACACGUAGGUGAAGUGAUUUACUCAUGGAGCUGAAGUCAGUCGAAGAUACCAGCUGGCUGCAACUGUUUAUUAAAAACACAGCACUGUGCAAACACGAAAGUGGACGUAUACGGUGUGACGCCUGCCCGGUGCCGGAAGGUUAAUUGAUGGGGUCAGCGCAAGCGAAGCUCCUGAUCGAAGCCCCGGUAAACGGCGGCCGUAACUAUAACGGUCCUAAGGUAGCGAAAUUCCUUGUCGGGUAAGUUCCGACCUGCACGAAUGGCGUAAUGAUGGCCAGGCUGUCUCCACCCGAGACUCAGUGAAAUUGAACUCGCUGUGAAGAUGCAGUGUACCCGCGGCAAGACGGAAAGACCCCGUGAACCUUUACUAUAGCUUGACACUGAACAUUGAGCCUUGAUGUGUAGGAUAGGUGGGAGGCUUUGAAGUGUGGACGCCAGUCUGCAUGGAGCCGACCUUGAAAUACCACCCUUUAAUGUUUGAUGUUCUAACGUGGACCCGUUACCCGGGUUGCGGACAGUGUCUGGUGGGUAGUUUGACUGGGGCGGUCUCCUCCUAAAGAGUAACGGAGGAGCACGAAGGUUGGCUAAUCCUGGUCGGACAUCAGGAGGUUAGUGCAAUGGCAUAAGCCAGCUUGACUGCGAGCGUGACGGCGCGAGCAGGUGCGAAAGCAGGUCAUAGUGAUCCGGUGGUUCUGAAUGGAAGGGCCAUCGCUCAACGGAUAAAAGGUACUCCGGGGAUAACAGGCUGAUACCGCCCAAGAGUUCAUAUCGACGGCGGUGUUUGGCACCUCGAUGUCGGCUCAUCACAUCCUGGGGCUGAAGUAGGUCCCAAGGGUAUGGCUGUUCGCCAUUUAAAGUGGUACGCGAGCUGGGUUUAGAACGUCGUGAGACAGUUCGGUCCCUAUCUGCCGUGGGCGCUGGAGAACUGAGGGGGGCUGCUCCUAGUACGAGAGGACCGGAGUGGACGCAUCACUGGUGUUCGGGUUGUCAUGCCAAUGGCACUGCCCGGUAGCUAAAUGCGGAAGAGAUAAGUGCUGAAAGCAUCUAAGCACGAAACUUGCCCCGA